rnacentral:rRNA from 1 species
AUGUUUGAGAAGAUUGAACAUCACACAAGUCCAAAGAACAUAAUAGCAAUGGGAUCUCGAAGCAUCUGCCUUCUCAUUCUUCUUGUGAUCUUCAUCCCCAGUUCUGUCAUGUCUGAAUCAAGUGAUAUAAAAAGUUUAUUCACUCUGAGGCACUCAAUUGCUGAAGAAAAGGGUUUCCUCCGCAGCUGGUUUGAUUCAGAAACUCCCCCUUGCAGCUGGUUAGGUAUAACCUGUUCGGGGCGUAGCGUUGUGGCCAUAGACUUGUCCUCCAUGCCACUCUACGUCCGGUUUCCUUCAUGCAUUGGGGCAUUCGAGUCGCUUGUUCUGCUGAACUUAAGUGGGUGUGGGUUUACCGGUGAGCUUCCGGACACCCUGGGAAUUUGCAGCGUCUUCAGUACCUAG